rnacentral:tRNA from 1 species
GGAGAGGUUCCCGAGUGGCCAAAGGGAGCAGACUGUAAAUCUGUUGGCGCUGCCUUCGCUGGUUCAAAUCCAGCCCUCUCCA